rnacentral:rRNA from 1 species
AUUGAACGCUGGCGGUAUGCUUAACACAUGCAAGUCGAACGAUGAGAAAGAGCUUGCUCUUUCGAUUAGUGGCGGACGGGUGCGUAACGCGUAGGAAUCUACCUAUUGGUGGGGGACAACUUAGGGAAACUUAAGCUAAUACCGCAUACGCCCUACGGGGGAAAGAAGGGGAUCGAAAGACCUUUUGCUAUUAGAUGAGCCUGCGUAGGAUUAGCUAGUUGGUGGGGUAAAAGAGCACCAAGGCGACGAUCCUUAACUGGUUUGAGAGAAUGAUCAGUCACACGGGCACGGAGACACGGUCCAGACUCGGACGGGAGGCAGCAGUGGGUAAUAUUGGACAAUGGGCGAAAGCCUGAUCCAGUAAUACCGCGUGUUUAAAGAAGGCCUUAGGGUUGUAAAGCACUUUCAAUUGGAAGGAAAACCUCGAAGCUAAUACCUUCGAGUUUGACAUUACCUUUAGAAGAAGCACCGGCUAACUCCGUGCCAGCCGCCGCCGUAA